rnacentral:lncRNA from 1 species
CUUAUUGAAUCUGUAUACUUAGUAGGUUAUAUUAGGGGUAGUUGAGGUCAUAUUAGGGGUAAAUGAAGUUUGCGGUGAGCUUAGUUCAUGGAUGGAUUUUAAAUGGUUGAAACAUGGUUCGGUCGCUGGUUUGAAGCAAAGCAUGCCAUAAGGUCAUUGACACUGCAGAAAUGAAAACAUUUAGAUCUAAAUUGUAUCAAAAAGUGUAUUAAAUUUGCAUUGUACAUCCAGGAUCCUCUCUAAAAAUGCAGGAAAGUAGAGACUGGAAAGUGCAAAGUCGCAAAGAGGAAGCAUAUAGUAUAUCUCACUCCGGAAUUUCCACUUCAGACACACAUCCUGAAGUUGAGGGGACACUGGAAACUUGUCCGAUUGUCUUCUAUCAGCAUGCCAACCCUGUUUCCAGGCAGAAGAGAGAAGAGAUUUUCCAGACUCCACAAACUCAAGGAGACAGUUUGUGCAGAAUAAAUAAUUAAAUGGAAUUUUGGAGAGGGAUUAAUCAAGAACAGCUUACCUUUGCCUCUGAGAAUAUGUUUACAUGUUUGUACAUAUGUCCUUGAAAGCAGUUUUCCUUUACAUGCCAUGUUUUUCCCAGAUAGAGGAACUGCAGUCGUAAUUUUUAAGCUACAGGGUUAAACUGAGGCAAUAUCUGUUACAUUUCACAAUUUUGCCCAGUUUUAUUGUGAUAAACAUAUAAGGACAUGUUAUACAGUAUAAACUCAGUCUUUUCAAUAGGGAAAAUCAUCUUUUAGACAAAUACUUUUGGAAUCAUAAAAUGUUAUAUUUCUCUAUACCACUUGUCGUGCUUUUAGUAUAAGUAUAGAAAUAUGAGCUGGCUUGCCAUUAUAUUUUGUUGCUCCACAGGAAUUUUUAAAAAAAUGUUCUAGUUUUAGGAAUUUAUGAUUAAUAAAUACAGUCAAGUUUGCAAUUUA